UCAGUACUCCCUCCGUCCGGAAAUACUUGUCAUUGAAAUGGAUGUAUCUAGAUGUAUUUUAAUUCUAGAUACAUCCAUUUUGAUGACAAGUAAUUCCGGACGGAGAGAGUACUAC
rnacentral:pre_miRNA from 1 species